rnacentral:lncRNA from 1 species
AGCCUCAAAAGACUCUCAUGGGGACAAUAAAUUCUGCAUUUUUUAUGGAACUUAAUAUGACACUAAAAAUUUUGGUAUUUUAUAUUUCAUCACUCUAAAGUAGUUGGCAUUUUGCAUUUUGAAUUCUAUGGGGAACGAAACACCCGAAAAGCCCAAGGUUGAGAAGGAAGAAAUGACAAACCAAACCACCAACACUUUUGCAAUAACUAACCAAAUUAUAAAAAGAAACCUAAGAGAUCGGCCGUGCCCUUCUUAUUGCUUUCACGAUCGCGGGCUGAUAAAGUGUGUUUGCAAAAUACUGAUCCUCCAUGCCCGAUUUGGAAGGCAGGUAUCGAUCAAGCCGCAGAGAGCUUGGGGACCAAGUAGGGCUCGCAUUGGCAUGCAUGAUCAUGAUGUAUCCCAUUCCCAUCCCAUCCUUGAUCCUUGCAUGCAUCUCACCACCAAGCAGUAGUAGGCUCCAAAGGGGACAAGAUAUUUUCGAAGAGAGCACACCUAUCCAACCUAGCGUGCAUUUGUUUAAUCAACCACGAAAGCACAAGAGAUCGAGGGCCCCUACCUGACCCGGGCCCACCACCCAUUUUCUC